rnacentral:rRNA from 1 species
GAACACAAUGAAACUUUAUGUGUGUGUGACCUCCUCUGUCCCCAGAAGCUAAGCAGGGCAGGGCCUGAUUAGUAUUUGAGUGGGACACCACGAACAACAACAGGCACUAUUUUUC